CCCUACGGGGCGCAGCAGUGGGGAAUAUUGGGCAAUGGGCGCAAGCCUGACCCAGCAACGCCGCGUGAAGGAAGAAGGCUUUCGGGUUGUAAACUUCUUUUGUCAGGGACGAAACAAAUGACGGUACCUGAUGAAUAAGCCACGGCUAACUACGUGCCAGCAGCCGCGGUAAUACGUAGGUGGCAAGCGUUAUCCGGAUUUAUUGGGUUUAAAGGGUGCGCAGGCGGGAGAUCAAGUCAGCGGUAAAAUGUCGGGGCUCAACCCCGGCCGGCCGUUGAAACUGGUUUUCUAGAGUUGGAGAGAAG
rnacentral:rRNA from 1 species